AACGAACGCUGGCGGCGUGCUUAACACAUGCAAGUCGAACGCGAAAGGGACUUCGGUCCUGAGUAAAGUGGCGCACGGGUGAGUAACGCGUGGAUAAUCUGCCCUUCAGCGGGGAAUAACCCAUCGAAAGGUGGGCUAAUACCCCAUAACACUAUUUCUGCCUCGGCAGGAUAGUCAAAGACGGCCUCUGUUUACAAGCUGUCACUGAAGGAUGAGUCCGCGUACCAUUAGCUAGUUGGUAGGGUAAUGGCCUACCAAGGCUGCGAUGGUUAGCUGGUCUGAGAGGAUGAUCAGCCACACUGGAACUGAGACACGGUCCAGACUCCUACGGGAGGCUG
rnacentral:rRNA from 1 species